GAUGAACGCUAGCGGCAGGCCUAACACAUGCAAGUCGAGGGGUAGCAGGAUUAAGCUUGCUUAAUUGCUGACGACCGGCGCACGGGUGCGUAACGCGUAUGCAACCUACCUUAUACUGGGGUAUAGCCCGGAGAAAUUCGGAUUAAUCCCCCAUAGUACUAAUGAAUCGCAUGGUUUAUUAGUUACAGCAUUUCGGUAUAAGAUGGGCAUGCGUCCUAUUAGCUAGAUGGUGAGGUAACGGCUCACCAUGGCUACGAUAGGUAGGGGGCCUGAGAGGGUGGUCCCCCACACUGGUGCUGCGACACGGACCAGACUCCUACGGGAGGCAGCGGUGAGGAAUAUUGGGCAAGGGGCGCAAGCUUGAACCAGCCAUGCCGCGUGCAGGAAGAAUGCCCUAUGGGUUGUAAACUGCUUUUAUAUGGGAAUAAACCUCUUUACGUGUAGAGAGCUGAAGGUACCAAAUGAAUAAGCACCGGCUAACUCCGUGCCAGCAGCCGCAGUAA
rnacentral:rRNA from 1 species